rnacentral:rRNA from 1 species
UACGUAGGGCGCGAGCGUUAAUCGGAAUUACUGGGCGUAAAGCGUGCGCAGGCGGUUCGUCGUGUCCGAUGUGAAAGCCCCGGGCUCAACCUGGGAAUGGCAUUGGAAACUGGCGGGCUUGAGUGUGGCAGAGGGGGGUGGAAUUCCGCGUGUAGCAGUGAAAUGCGUAGAGAUGCGGAGGAACACCGAUGGCGAAGGCAGCCCCCUGGGCUGACACUGACGCUCAGGCACGAAAGCGUGGGGAGCAAACGGG